GGUGGCAUAGCCCAGUCGGUAGAGCAAUGGACUCAUAUUCCAUGUGUCAUAGGUUCGAUCCCUAUUGCCACUA
rnacentral:tRNA from 2 species